rnacentral:lncRNA from 1 species
GUGUACAGCAAAGUAAAUGUGCAGAGGGUUACAUCCUAAAUUGCCUAGGUAUACUGUAAAUAUAUGGGCAAGAUCUGGCCAGCAUUAAACAUUUUAAAAUCCCAUUGAUUUCGUGGGGGAAAUGUUUAGCAUUCCCAUUGAAAUAAAUGGCAUAUAAAAGGCCUUAAUUUUUAUAUCCCACUGAUCUGAAAGGGGAAAUGAAGCAGCUGCUGAAUACUGGAACACUUGGCAGCUUUGAAAUGCUCUGAUCCAAAGGGCUUGUUUUUAUUUGACAAAUGACUUUAAAAGCUGCCUUACUGUAAAUCCAAGACCAGGAGGAGAAUAAUUGCAUGGUGGGAAGAAUGGAUCCCAGGCUGUGAAGCAUCAUGGCCAAUGUACCAAGAUGGCCCUGAGCAGAUUUACAAGGAGGCAGCCUUCAAGCUGCAACUAAAACUGUCCAUCUUCGCUGCCUGAGCAAAACAACUGCAAGACAAACUUGUGCAGGUUGUGCGGCUGCCUUGGGGGUGGGGAAGCCUGAUCUACAUCCCAUUUCACAUCUCACCAACUGUGCUGACUCAAAGUGGGAGAAUUUCCUCGGAGGCUGCAGGCACAGCUACAGCAUCUCAACUUAGCAAAGUCUCUUGAUCGGUCAAAGAGAUGCCAUGCAUUGCGACUUGCUGUUAUUUUUAUUAAUUAUAGUUAAGUAAUUAUUUACUGUAGUUGUUAAGAGUAAACUGUUUAAUUAUUAUUUGCUGAUACUUAAU